rnacentral:rRNA from 1 species
GACGAACGCUGGCGGCGUGCUUAACACAUGCAAGUCGAACGCUGAAGCUCAGCUUUUGUUGGGUGGAUGAGUGGCGAACGGGUGAGUAACACGUGAGUAACCUGCCUCCUUCUUUGGGAUAACGCCCGGAAACGGGUGCUAAUACUGGAUAUUCACUGGUCUUCGCAUGGGGGUUGGUGGAAAGGGUUUUUCUGGUGGGGGAUGGGCUCGCGGCCUAUCAGCUUGUUGGUGGGGUGAUGGCCUACCAAGGCUUUGACGGGUAGCCGGCCUGAGAGGGUGACCGGUCACAUUGGGACUGAGAUACGGCCCAGACUCCUACGGGAGGCAGCAGUGGGGAAUAUUGCACAAUGGGCGCAAGCCUGAUGCAGCGACGCCGCGUGAGGGAUGGAGGCCUUCGGGUUGUGAACCCCUUUCGCUCAUGGUCAAGCCGCAACAAUGGUUGUGGUGAGGGUAGUGGGUAAAGAAGCGCCGGCUAACUACGUG